rnacentral:lncRNA from 1 species
AUAUCUCAAGGAGCCCUUUGUGCUCAGUAAUUAUAUAAAUUAAUACUUUCACACAGAUAAAAUAAAAUACUUUUACACACAUGUUUAAUACUAUACACCAUCGUCAUAUUUAAGAGCGUUAUCAAUAAUACACACUCAGCACAUAAAGACCACCUAAAAGAAGAGACAUGGAUCAUCACCCCUUAUACAUAUAAUCCUGAUGAUUGGCCAUCAUUCUGGUUUAUGAGUUGUUCUUCCAUUAUGUGAUUAAAAAUUUUCCACAACAAAUCAAUAGAUGUCUACAGCUCCAGGGCAGUAUUAUUUAUCCUUUUCAUGAAUAUUACCAACAAAUGCAUCAGGACUUUCUGUAUAUCUAAAAUUUUAUUUCCUUCGGGUAAAUAUAUUUCUAAUGGUUUUUAAUAUUUGUCAGUUUGAAAUGAAAUAACUAUAUAAUAAUUAAUAUUGAACUGUCAUUUUUCUGAGAUUUUCCUAAAAGUCUUCUUAUAUGUAUAUAAUUGUGUGUAUAAUUUUUUGUGUCAUUCUUCUGAUACUUUUCUUAGUUCAUCACUCAUUUUCGUGCAUUUAUUUCUAUUGUUUCUUUAUGAGGGGAGUUGUAGUUUUGGAAUCGUUUUCAUGACUUUCAAUUCGUCAUAACUUAACAUGGUAAAAUUAAAUUUUAUUUUUGUUAAGUAUAAUUUAUUAUUUCUCUUUUUCAUUGAUUUCAAGUCUCCUAUUGUAUUUGAAAUAUUUAUUUUACUACUAUUCUACUAAGACUUCUAGGUCUUUCUAUUGUCUACAUAGAAUUGUAUAGUUUUGGAUACAUUUUCUAAUUGAUUUUCUUUUCAAUCAUAUUCUAAUUCUUUUUAAAAUUGAGUUUUUGAUUCGGAUAUAGUACUGCUUUGGAACAAGGAUUUUUUGGGACAGCUGCACUUCAAUUCAACCACCUUCUUCAAGAUGCCUUUAGCUUGAUUAAAUUCAACAUUCAACAGUGGAUUAAGAAUAAAAUUCAUCAUUGAAGAGGAACUAAAUAAUUUUAGAUCAUUGAAUUUUUGGAACUCAUUCUACAAAAGCUGCAGCUGGUACUGGUACUUCUAUUUUUCCUCCAUUGGACACUCCAGAAGACACAUCUCAAGAAGACUUGUAGAAACACCGAAACUGUUUUAAAAUAUUUAUGAAUUUUAUUUUAUGUAAACUGGUCUUUACUUUUUUGGAAAUUGUAAAAGUAAAAUUUUGAAGUGUUGAAUUCUGUAUUUAUACAUAAAAUUUUUAAAUAUUUGAGUUAAAAAAAAUCUUAUAUCAUCAAGAAUAUAUUUUAGUAGAUUCCAGAUGUAUAAAAACACAGAAUUCAAGACAAUCAAAAUUUUAAUUUUAUUCUUAAAUAGUUUCUUGGAAUUUUAAACUUUAUACUGUACAAUCAUAAAGUUUCCUGAUCAAGCAGGCUUUGAGCAUUGAUAAAUAAUCAUUUUCUAUCAGAAAUAGCAUUAAAAAUAAUAUAAAUUUUUAUAUUCCAAGGAAUAUUAUGUUACAUUCAAUAAUUAGAGUACCAUUUAUAAUUAUUUUGGUUAUAGAUAAGAUAUUUAUUAAAUUUAAUGUUUUAGUUAAGUUGUAAUACAACAUAAUAAAAAAAUGGCGUCAGCGAAAGCUAUGAAAUGAAGAUCUCUGUUAUCUUAUAUGGGGUCAUGUAAAAUUAUACGGAGAAUAUCGUCAUGUUCAUUUUCAAGCCAACUGGACGCCGUUUUUUUUCCGAUGACAAAUGUGCAAAAGAAAUGAGCACAAACAUUUUUUUACACAAAAAAAUAUUUUUGUUACAAUCAUAAACAGUCUACAUAGCUCUUUAUGUAAAAAAAUUAGUUUCUUACGUACAAAAUUCCUAGUUUUAUACAAGGUAUUUUUUACGUUUUAUAAAAAGCUUCUUUGAACACGCUGUUAACUGUUAUUAUGAUAUACAAAAGAUACAAUACAAUCGAAAAAAAACAGCGUCGGAGAUAGCUUGGAAAUUAAGAUCGCUGUCAUUUUAUAUGUAAAUUUAUGUUGGGAAUUUCAUCAAGUGUUAUUUCAAAGCCUACCGGAUGCCAUUUUUUUGGUAUAAUUGAUUUAUGUUUAGGCAUUUUAUUGUUGAUAUAUUUUCUAUUUUGUGCAGUAAUCUACAUACCAUAUGAUC